rnacentral:rRNA from 1 species
AUGGACACGGACGAGUUCUUCAACCCAGGCUGCGGCGGGCCGGCCGGCGACGGCUGCGACUGCGGGGACUGCGAGGAGUGGAGGCACGACCACGGCCGCACCAAGCACUUCCUCCUCUUCGCCUCCGACCACAAAGAUUUUCUGUGCACACCGUGGGAGGUCACAAGGCAGCUGAGAAAUAUGAUCACCGGCUCCGAGCCUAUCAAACUUGAAGCUCCUGAUGGCCAGAUGUACAGUGUUGAGUUCGUCAAGUUCGGCCUGAUAACUCUUACGACUGGGUGGCGGCGCUUUGUGGAUGCUAAUCACAUACAACAAGGUGAUCCCAUCUUGUUCGUUUACUGUGGGAGCUCCACGUUCAAGGUCCACAUAUGCACUUCAUCCGGUCACAAGAAUUCUCUGCCCUGUUCUCAACAGCCUCCCAACAUCCUUAGAGCUGUUCUGCUUCGUGAUCGUCAUGUGCUGAAUGGUAAAGUGAAUAGGACCUUCAAGUCGGGUGCUUUUGGUAAUGCUUUUCUGAUCAAUAUAACAGUGUUCUUUCUUGAUGUGCUGAAUGAACAAGUGGUGCCUGAUCCUGCACAUGUUCAGACGUCAACCGACUUUGGCUAUACCAUGUUCCCCGGGACCUGCCUAAGCAAAGCACAAGAGAAGAAAGUGCUAGAGCUAGCUGAUAGCAGCAUGAGGUCUGAAAUUCCUCUGCAUGUGGCACCUAUGAACAAAAGAAAUGCCAGCAAGGACUACUAUGUUUGCAUACCGUUGAGGCUUUUGGACAAUUUCAAAGAGGGGAUAACUGAAACUGUCAUUCAGCUCGAAGCCCAUGGCAACAACAUGGUAUACAGUGUUGGCGUAAGCAAGCACAGUGAUGAUCAAAUAAUCCUCCAGUCUGAGUUGAGUGAUUUCGUAGCUUCUCUCCGCAUACAAGACAACGACCUCCUCGUCUUCAGAAGCAAGAGGAAAGCCCGCCUUGAAGUUCUUGUCCUUGAUCCGAGCGGUUGUGAGAAAACUUGUUUUGCCAUGGGAAACUCCUCAAAUGCCCAGGAGAUGGCUUUGACAUCCUCCCCUUGUAUUAAGUCAGGAUGCCCCGCUGGCAAGUUGAAUGAAGCCGGUUUAGAAGCUCCUAUGUCCAACAAGUCCUACAUAUUACCCGAACGGAAGAACCUAACUUGGCAACAAGAGAAGAAAGUAAAGGAGAAAGUCCAUGCAAUAGAAUCUGAAUUCCCUGUAUUUGUGAAGGUGAUGACGGCACGUGAUUUAUCGAACCCAACAAAGCUGUUGUUCUGCAAGGAAUAUGCUUCGGCAUGUCUCCCGCUCAAACAAACACCUCUCCUAAUUGGGCUGGAAGGUAGCACGAUGCAGUGGCCUACAACGCUGACCGUCACGGAGUAUACGAAAGGGAGGAUGAUUUCCUUACUCUGGAAGGACUUUGUCUUGGACGUCGGGAUGAAGGCAGGGGACAUCUGCCUCGUCGAACUGGCAGACAGGAGCAGCGAUAGCCUCAAGAUGAUGGUCCAUCUAAUCCGCAAGUCGGAAAUGCAGCUCUAG